rnacentral:rRNA from 1 species
AUACGGAGGAUCCAAGCGUUAUCCGGAUUUAUGGGUUUAAAGGGUGCGUAGGCGGGCUAUUAAGUCAGCGGUGAAAGUUCGUGGCUCAACCACGAAAUUGCCGUUGAAACUGGUAGCCUUGAGUGUAGAUGAGGUGGGUGGAAUUCGUAGUGUAGCGGUGAAAUGCAUAGAUAUUACGAAGAACUCCAAUUGCGUAGGCAGCUCACUAGACUACAACUGACGCUGAGGCACGAAGGUGCGGGGAUC